GAUGAACGCUGGCGGCGUGCCUAAUACAUGCAAGUCGAGCGAACGGACGAGAAGCUUGCUUCUCUAAUGUUAGCGGCGGACGGGUGAGUAACACGUGGAUAACCUACCUAUAAGACUGGGAUAACUUCGGGAAACCGUAGCUAAUACCGGAUAAUAUUUUGAACCGCAUGGUUCAAAAGUGAAAGACGGUCUUGCUGUCACUUAUAGAUGGAUCCGCGCUGCAUUAGCUAGUUGGUAAGGUAACGGCUUACCAAGGCAACGAUGCAUAGCCGACCUGAGAGGGUGAUCGGCCACACUGGAACUGAGACACGGUCCAGACUCCUACGGGAGGCAGCAGUAAGGAAUCUUCCGCAAUGGGCGAAAGCCUGACGGAGCAACGCCGCGUGAGUGAUGAAGGUCUUCGGAUCGUAAAACUCUGUUAUUAGGGAAGAACAUAUGUGUAAGUAACUGUGCACAUCUUGACGGUACCUAAUCAGAAAGCCACGGCUAACUACGUG
rnacentral:rRNA from 1 species